GAUGAACGCUGGCGGCGUGCCUAAUACAUGCAAGUCGAGCGAACAGACGAGGAGCUUGCUCCUCUGACGUUAGCGGCGGACGGGUGAGUAACACGUGGAUAACCCACCUAUAUGACUGGGAUAAUCUCGGGACACCGGAGCUAAUACCGGAUAAUCUAUUGAACCGCAUGGUUCAAUAGUGAAAGACGGCUUUGCUGUCACUUAUAGCUGGUUCCGCGCCGCAUUGGCUAGUUGGUAAGGUAACGGCUUACCAAGGCAACGAUGCGUAGCCGACCUGAGAGGGUGGUCGGCCACACUAGAACGUGGACACGGACAAGGCUCCUGAGGGAGGCAGCAGUAGGGAAUGGUCCGCAAUGGGCGAGAACCUGACGGAGCGACGCGGCGUGAGUGGUGGAGGUGUUCGGAUCGGAAAGAUCUGUUAUGAGUGAAGAACAAAUGUGCAAGUAAAUAUACACGUCUUGACGGUACCGAGUCAAAAAGCCACGGCUAACUACGUG
rnacentral:rRNA from 1 species